UACGAAGGGGGCUAGCGUUGCUCGGAAUCACUGGGCGUAAAGGGUGCGUAGGCGGGUGUUUAAGUCAGGGGUGAAAUCCUGGAGCUCAACUCCAGAACUGCCUUUGAUACUGAAGAUCUUGAGUUCGGGAGAGGUGAGUGGAACUGCGAGUGUAGAGGUGAAAUUCGUAGAUAUUCGCAAGAACACCAGUGGCGAAGGCGGCUCACUGGCCCGAUACUGACGCUGAGGCACGAAAGCGUGGGGAGCAAGCAGG
rnacentral:rRNA from 1 species